AAGAUCUGCAAAACUUUCAUUUACAUCAACUGAAUGCAACCCAGACACUUUAAUUAAGCUAAGACCUC
rnacentral:tRNA from 1 species